UUAUGGGGUAGCGCUGGGGACAGGUGGCCGGGCCAAGUUCCGGGGGGUCCUCCAUGAGAGUCGUGGAUGGGCCCCGCUGUCGGCUG
rnacentral:sRNA from 1 species